AAAGAAACUAACUAGGAUUCCCUCAGUAGCUGCGAGCGAACAGGGAAAAGCCCAGCACCGAAUCUUGCGGUCGACACCGGUCGCCAAGAAAUGUGGUGUUAGGGAGGGUCCGUUAUCUCGCGAUAAUUCGACGCGUCCAAGUCCUUCUUGAACGGGGCCACAGCCCAUAGAGGGUGCCAGGCCCGUAGCGACCGUCGUUUGUUGCGAGAGGAUCUCUCCUCAGAGUCGGGUUGCUUGAGAGUGCAGCCCUAAGUGGGUGGUAAACUCCAUCUAAGGCUAAAUAUGACCACGAGACCGAUAGCGAACAAGUACCGUGAGGGAAAGUUGAAAAGCACUUUGAAGAGAGAGUUCAAGAGUACGUGAAACCGUUUAGGGGUAAACCUGAGAAACCCGAAAGGUCGAAAGGAGAAAUUCAUUCGCGUUUCGGCCGGCGGCGUAAGACGUCAGAGUGACGAUCCGUCUUCGGGCGGGGCGCGCCUUUCGUUUGUCGAUCCGUCGUCGAACGCGUGCACUUUUCUCCUAGUAGGACGUCGCGAUCCGUUGGGCGUCGGUCUAAGAUUUGCGGUGGAGUCCUCGAGUGCGGCUUCUGUCGUCAUUCGAGAACCCGUGACAUCCGACCGACACGCUCGACGGUAUGAACGAGGUGCUAAGCCGCUAUUUUUAGCGUUCGACCCGCGGCAAGCGCGCCGGGUGCGUCGGCGACCGGACCUCGUGCCGGUUCUGGCCCCCGGCGACUGUUGGCCGCGGCGUUCUCGAACAGACUUAACGCCGAUCUGCGACGCUUUUAGCUUUGGGUACUU
rnacentral:rRNA from 1 species